rnacentral:rRNA from 1 species
AGAGUUUGAUCCUGGCUCAGGAUGAACGCUAGCGGGAGGCUUAACACAUGCAAGCCGAGGGGUAUAGUUCUUUCGGGAACUAGAGACCGGCGCACGGGUGCGUAACGCGUAUGCAACUUGCCCUACUGAAAAGGAUAGCCCUUCGAAAGGAGGAUUAAUACUUUAUAACAGAUUUAAUGGCAUCAUUAGAUUUUGAAAGAUUUAUCGCAGUAGGAUAGGCAUGCGUAAGAUUAGUUAGUUGGUGAGGUAACGGCUCACCAAGACGAUGAUCUUUAGGGGGCCUGAGAGGGUGAACCCCCACACUGGUACUGAGACACGGACCAGACUCCUACGGGAGGCAGCAGAAGGG